AAUUCAAUCUGCUGCUGCUGUCAGGCUACAUUAAUUGGAUGGAGCAACUAGCAGGCCUCAUUGCACAAGGGAAGAAAAGGAAGAUGUCACCACACUUCAAAACCUCACCUGGCUUUUCUUGAACACAAAUGUCCAAAGCACAGAAAGGCACAAGCAGGAGAAAUAAUAAGAAAGAAAGAAAGGCUCUGGGGAAGUGAAGCUCUGUGGUGACAUUUCUGCAUCUCCAGUUAGAUGCUGACAGACAGGCUGGCACCUCUGCGGAGUUAAAAUGGAUCA